rnacentral:lncRNA from 10 species
GGGCGGGGGCCGGGCCGGGAGGGGUCCUGCGGGCCCCGCAUCCCCGUGCCCACUGCGGGGCUCGGACAGGGGGGCGCCGCGCCAGGCCGCAGACCCCGCCCUUCCGCGUCCCCACUCCGGCUGCCCGUGCGGCUCCGGACGAGGCUUCCCGGGGGCUCCGGGCCGGGGCAGCCGCGGCGCCCUCUCCCCAGGUCCACCGCGGGCGCUGCUUUCAAACAAAGGCAGGAGACGGAGCGGGAGACGCUGCCGUGACUGCUCCGGGCGGCCGCGGAGGAGGAGGAGGAGGACGUGGCGCCGCGAUCGCCAGCGGUCGGGCCCGGGGUCGGGGCGCUCCCAGGCGCGCGGCGUGGGAGCGGGGGGCGGGGCGGGCGGCGC